AGAGUUGAUGAUUUCGUGCUGCUCUUGUUCAGUCCGUCAGCAGGAAUGGCCGGUUAAGGGUGUGUUCCCGUUGCGGUGUUCGGCUAACUGGAAGCGUUGCACAAACAUUUGGUUCUUUAUAUCAAUGGUCAAGUGAAAAGAGAGGAUGAUCCACUCGUCCAGAACUUGAUCGCGAAAACCAGAACAUGAUUUGUUGGGAAAUGACUAGGAUAUGAUUUUGUCAUCCUAGCUUCACUUGCAUGCUCAUCGUUACCAAUCCUCUCGAGUUUCCGAUAAGCGUCACGAUGUUGAUCACCGA